rfam:Capsicum annuum cultivar Zunla-1 chromosome 4, whole genome shotgun sequence
UAUUGAUGAUGUGGACAGUUCUGAAGAAGAGCUUUGAACCUCUCCUAUGCAUGAUAUAAGCUCUCAUCUGACUUCUGCAUGAAGCAUAUAAUCUCAUUGCAUAGUAU